GCCUUUCGGUUGCUAGGCAAGCGCUCUACCACUGAGCUAAAUCCCCAACCCCACUUCCGUUCUUUUUUUUUUUUCCGGAGCUGGGGACCGAACCCAGGGCCUUUCGGUUGCUAGGCAAGCGCUCUACCGCUGAGCUAAAUCCCCAACCCCACUUCCGUUCUUUUUAUCAGUUACAGUUGCCUUGGUUUUGUUUGUUUUGUUUUGUAAGUCGUAAAAGUUGAAACCUCGGUAACUUUAGACCCAGGUAACAUUUUUUUACUGUCACAUAAAUAUCUCUUAUAGUAAUCCAUGCUGCUCCCAACCCCCACCGGGAGUGUAUAUUUUCUGCCUUGGGUACUUCGGAAGCAUAUCGGAGUGAUCUGUCUUAGAUCAGACAAGCCUGGCUUCUCCCUCCCUCUGUUCCUCUUCAGAAAAGAAGAAUAGUCCUCCCAGGGAUAUCGACAUGACAAGCUACAAUAAGACUAGCUGUCACAAGGGAGCGCCACCUCCAAGGGGCUGACGGUGCAGACGCAGUAACAAUUGGGCAGCCAAUUGGGCAGCGGGACAUUGGGCUGCGAAAGUUUGAGAGACGCUACUGAGCUGUGAAUACCUCACCUAGAAGACUGGCUGUACCGUGGCCUUGGUGUGUUAACUACAAAAUCCAGUGGAAUUCUCUAUUGCGAUAGCCUCAGGUUUAAAGCAACUGUAGUCACCCUUUUUUUUCUCAGACCUGGAUAUGUUGUAUCAGAUAAAUCUGUGAAAGACACACAAAUGAGUUAUUAUGUUACUCACAGAGGCAUUAAUGCUACAUAUGUCAUGCCUUGAAAUUUUACCAAUAAGGUCUUCACAGAAAGUCUUAAAAGACCGUCAAAAGAGUGUCUCAUAGCUAGAGAAAGCUCAGAAAAUUCCAGCCAGUGUUCUUAAAGUUGAUGCCACCUCAGCGUGUUCUCUGAAACCCUGUUUUCCCCAUAGACUAGUUGCUUUUCAUUGAGAACUGAGCUGAUUCUGUCUCAAUACAUGCUAUUAUAUGAUAUUUGAUAACCCUUUUAGUUCUUAUUAUGACCUGGCUAGCCCCCAAAUAAUCGAGUCAGAGUGUCAUUGAUUCAUUUAGCCAGCUUUAGCACAAUUAUUGGAAAAUUACCCUUAAACUAUCUUUCUAUGCUAGACUGGCUAUUUCCCAAUUGUUCUCCCCAAGUUUCUUGCCCCAGUUAUUUGUUCUCCAUGGGUCUGUCCUCAGGAUCUCUUGGUCACAUCACAUGUUCUUGGUCCAUUCCAUCUAAUGGAGACUCCUCUCUCUCUCCUUUCUCCCAGCCUUGCAGUCCCUACCUAACCAUGUCCUCCUCCAAGCCUGAUACCAGAAACCCUGCCUAUUUCUAUUCUCCCCCAGUAACUGACUGUAGCCACUCUUAUGUAACCAAUAAGAGAAUAAAAACCAAGCAACGUUCAUAUGACAUCAUUUGGUGUAUGUGAGAAAGUGCUUGUCUGGACUGCAACCAAAUCUUGGGGGCCAGUAUUUAGCAUUUGAAUACAUAGCAGCACCAGACCAAACCCCAACAAAUACAAACUAUACUUUAAAUGUUUAGGGUCUGGGGAGGGGGUUUAGUGAAUGAAGAAAGCCCUUCCCACAUAAGGCCAUGGAUUGCAGCAUCCACACAGAAGCCAGGCAGGGAUGGUGGCUCUGCUGUAACCCCAUCCCAAAGCAGGCAGAAAUGGGAUUCCUUGGAGCAAGCUGGCUACAUUAGCUGAGUCAACGUUUUCUGGACUAGUGAGACUCUGCCUCAAGAAAUUAAAUGGAGCGCAAUUGAGGAAGACACCCGUGGUGGUUUGAAUAUGCUUGGCCCAGGGAGUGGCACUGUUAGUGGAUGUGACCUUGUUAGAGUAGGUGUGUCACUGUGGGUGUGGGCUUAAGACCCUCAUCCUAACUGCCUGGAAGCCAGUAUUCUGCCUUCAGAUGAAGAUGUAGAACUCUCAGCUCCUCCUGCACCAUGCCUGCCUGGAUGCCUUCAUGCUCCUACCUUGACGAUAAUGGACUGAUCCUCUGAACCUGUAAGCCAGCCCUAAUUAAAUGCUGUCCUCGUAAGAAUUGACUUGGUUAUGGUGUUUUUUCACGCGGUAAAACCCAGCUAGGACCACACCCAACAUCGACCUCCACACAUACAUGCACCCACCCAUGCAAGCGUGAGUAUACAUGCGUGUAUUCCACGUAUACAAGCCUCCAACAGGGGAAGUUUUAAGUGGAAAGGGAUUUUAAAUCUCCUGCUUCGAAAGUUUGUUCAAGUUAGGAUCAUUACGGAUUACUUGGAUUAGUAUUCCUCGAUGCUAAGAGGCCAGAAGGAAAAAGAAGCUCGAACCUAGUCUUACAGGAGCUAAGCGUGAGAACAAACUGGAAGAGAGCUCGACAAGGUAGGGAACUAGAAUGCCCCUCCGUUCAUCUCUGAAAUGUCUGACGCUUUCCAUAUAUUUAUGGUUCAAAGCCUUGGAGACCACUGGCGGUUGAGAAGAGGACAAGGGAAGCGGCAGACUACAGUUACGUUUGUUCAGAAUAGUUCUGGCCAUCCGGGAGAGCAGCGCUUGAGCAUGUCACACCUCCCACCGCCACCAGGGGCAGCAGAUGCCAGCGUCGCAGUUUCAAGGUUGCCAUUGUCAAAGGAUUUCGCUCUCCAAGAGAUAGUUUGAUCCCUUAUGGCCCGGUUUUCAGCUUGAUUCUGAAGCCCUCUGCUUUAAUGUAUUUUUCCCGUUUUCAUCUUGAUUCUGAACACAUAUUUUUGAUAGUCUACAAGCUGUGCUGAGUACCUAAUGUGACAAUGAAUGCACACUAGAGUGGCUCCAAGUGCAAUAGGAAAGAAGAUAACUUUCCGCUUGGGGACAUUAAGAGCUGCAAGCUCUCCGUUUUUUGUUUGGUUUGAAAGGCCACAUACAGAAAGAGUACAUGGCAGACUGAACGGCAAAGAGGAGAGAAAGCAUCAGACUUCCGGUGGAUUUCCGGCCUCCCCACGUGACCAGUGAUGUACUGCCUGCCCCUCCCAGCACCCCUUCUAAAUCCUUAAAUGAGAAAAGGUCUUAAAAAUUUGCUCGAGGUAGGCAGGGUAAGGCCGCUUCCUAAGAGUGCGCCAGUUUAAAGAACAGGAAGAGGACUUAAUGGAUUUGAUCUCGCUUAGUUCCGGUCUGAGAGGUCUACUUCUAAGUAGGGAAAAUGACUCUAAUCUUUUCUCACUUUGAGGCGGGAGCUGAUUUACGCUGCACGUGAGGAUGGGGCCGUCUCUUACUGAGAAAUAUCGCAGUUAUGGGGAAGGGUAAAAAUAGCCACGGAAUUUAAAAUUUAGACAUUAGGAAAUGUGAAAUACAAAAUAAGCGAUACAUUUCCUCAAUAAAUGCCUAAGUCAACAAC